rnacentral:rRNA from 1 species
GACGUGGGUGGCGAGCGUUAUCCGGAUUUACUGGGCGUAAAGAGGGCGCAGGCGGCUUUGCAAGUCAGAUGUAAAAUCUCCUAGCUUAACUGGGAGGGACCAUUUGAUACUGCUAAGCUAGAGUGCAGCAGGGGGAGGUAGAAUUCCCGGUGUAGUGGUGAAAUGCGUAGAUAUCGGGAGGAAUACCAGUGGCGAAGGCGGCCUCCUGGGCUGUUACUGACGCUUAAGCCCGAAAGCGUGGGGAGCAAACAGGAUUAGAUACCCCAGUA